AUUGAACGCUGGCGGCAGGCCUAACACAUGCAAGUCGAACGGUAACAGGAAGAAGCUUGCUUCUUUGCUGACGAGUGGCGGACGGGUGAGUAAUGUCUGGGAAACUGCCUGAUGGAGGGGGAUAACUACUGGAAACGGUAGCUAAUACCGCAUAACGUCGCAAGACCAAAAAGGGGGACCUUCGGGCCUCUUGCCAUCGGAUGUGCCCAGAUGGGAUUAGCUAGUAGGUGGGGUAACGGCUCACCUAGGCGACGAGCCCUAGCUGGUCUGAGAGGAUGACCAGCCACACUGGAACUGAGACACGGUCCAGACUCCUACGGGAGGCAGCAGUGGGGAAUAUUGCACAAUGGGCGCAAGCCUGAUGCAGCCAUGCCGCGUGUAUGAAGAAGGUCUUCGGGUUGUAAAGUACUUUCAGCGGGGAGGAAGGGAGUAAAGUUAAUACCUUUGCUCAUUGACGUUACCCGCAGAAGAAGCACCGGCUAACUCCGUG
rnacentral:rRNA from 1 species